rnacentral:ribozyme from 1 species
GCACAAGAUAAAUAGAAUGUAUGGCUAAUUACGUGAUAAAUAUGAGUUUUCCUUUUUUUAUUUUUAUUUUU